rnacentral:rRNA from 1 species
UACGAAGGGGGCUAGCGUUGCUCGGAAUCACUGGGCGUAAAGCGCACGUAGGCGGCUUUUUAAGACAGGGGUGAAAUCCUGGAGCUCAACUCCAGAACUGCCUUUGAUACUGAGAAGCUUGAGUCCGGGAGAGGUGAGUGGAACUGCGAGUGUAGAGGUGAAAUUCGUAGAUAUUCGCAAGAACACCAGUGGCGAAGGCGGCUCACUGGCCCGGUACUGACGCUGAGGUGCGAAAGCGUGGGGAGCAAACAGG